GUGAGUGGGAGCCCCCAACGUGUGGUUGGGACCAUGGUGGGUGGGCAGCCAGGGCCUCUGAGCCUCCCUCAUCUGUCUGCCCCAG
rnacentral:pre_miRNA from 1 species